GCGGCGUGCCUAAUACAUGCAAGUCGAACGAGUUCUCGUUGAUGAUCGGUGCUUGCACCGAGAUUCAACAUGGAACGAGUGGCGGACGGGUGAGUAACACGUGGGUAACCUGCCCUUAAGUGGGGGAUAACAUUUGGAAACAGAUGCUAAUACCGCAUAGAUCCAAGAACCGCAUGGUUCUUGGCUGAAAGAUGGCGUAAGCUAUCGCUUUUGGAUGGACCCGCGGCGUAUUAGCUAGUUGGUGAGGUAAUGGCUCACCAAGGCGAUGAUACGUAGCCGAACUGAGAGGUUGAUCGGCCACAUUGGGACUGAGACACGGCCCAAACUCCUACGGGAGGCAGCAGUAGGGAAUCUUCCACAAUGGACGCAAGUCUGAUGGAGCAACGCCGCGUGAGUGAAGAAGGCUUUCGGGUCGUAAAACUCUGUUGUUGGAGAAGAAUGGUCGGCAGAGUAACUGUUGUCGGCGUGACGGUAUCCAACCAGAAAGCCACGGCUAACUACGUGCCAGCAGCCGCGGUAAUACGUAGGUGGCAAGCGUUAUCCGGAUUUAUUGGGCGUAAAGCGAGCGCAGGCGGUUUUUUAAGUCUGAU
rnacentral:rRNA from 2 species